UUAUUGGAGAGUUUGAUCCUGGCUCAGAUUGAACGCUGGCGGCAUGCCUAACACAUGCAAGUCGAACGUGAAAGGGGGCAACCCCGAGUAGAGUGGCGGACGGGUGAGUAACGCGUAGGAAUCUACCUGGUAGUGGGGGACAACCCGGCGAAAGCCGGGCUAAUACCGCAUACGAUCCACGGAUGAAAGCAGGGGACCGCAAGGCCUUGCGCUAUCAGAUGAGCCUGCGUCGGAUUAGCUAGUUGGUGAGGUAAUGGCUCACCAAGGCAACGAUCCGUAGCUGGUCUGAGAGGACGACCAGCCACACUGGGACUGAGACACGGCCCAGACUCCUACGGGAGGCAGCAGUGGGGAAUAUUGGACAAUGGGGGCAACCCUGAUCCAGCAAUGCCGCGUGUGUGAAGAAGGCCUUCGGGUUGUAAAGCACUUUCGGUGGGGACGAACAUGGUCGGGUGAAUAUCCCGGCCCUUGACGGUACCCAAAGAAGAAGCACCGGCUAACUCUGUGCCAGCAGCCGCGGUAAUACAGAGGGUGCAAGCG
rnacentral:ncRNA from 1 species